rnacentral:rRNA from 1 species
GACGAACGCUGGCGGCGUGCCUAAUACAUGCAAGUCGAGCGAGCGGAACUAACAGAUUUACUUCGGUAAUGACGUUAGGAAAGCGAGCGGCGGAUGGGUGAGUAACACGUGGGGAACCUGCCCCAUAGUCUGGGAUACCACUUGGAAACAGGUGCUAAUACCGGAUAAGAAAGCAGAUCGCAUGAUCAGCUUUUAAAAGGCGGCGUAAGCUGUCGCUAUGGGAUGGCUCCGCGGUGCAUUAGCUAGUUGGUAAGGUAAAGGCUUACCAAGGCGAUGAUGCAUAGCCGAGUUGAGAGACUGAUCGGCCACAUUGGGACUGAGACACGGCCCAAACUCCUACGGGAGGCAGCAGUAGGGAAUCUUCCACAAAGGACGCAAGUCUGAUGGAGCAACGCCGCGUGAGUGAAGAAGGUUUUCGGAUCGUAAAGCUCUGUUGUUGGUGAAGAAGGAUAGAGGUAGUAACUGGCCUUUAUUUGACGGUAAUCAACCAGAAAGUCACGGCUAACUACGUG